AUCUAUGGCCAUGCUGCCCUGAACAAGCCCGAUCCCGUCUGAUCUUGGAAGCUAAGCAGGGUCAGGCCUAGUUAGUACUUGCAUGGGAGACCACCUGGGAAGACCAGGUGCUGUAGGCA
rnacentral:rRNA from 1 species